rnacentral:lncRNA from 1 species
UCUCAAUCCCAUCAGCUCAAACGAAAUCUGUCUCCUUUAUUUCCGAAUUUGUGUAAGUUGUUUUCGUUUGGACUCUCCUUAGAACUGUUGAUAAGAUUCAUUUUUUAUUUGUAUACAUACUGAUUUGCUGUUUUGGAAUGUGGAGGAGACAUGAGAUUUUACGGAGGAGACAGAAGAUUUGGCAGAGGAGAAGGAGGCGCCACCACCUCCAUCUGUUGAUUAUAUCUUAGAUCUGUUGAUAAAAUUCAUCUUGUAUGUGUUUACAUACUGAUUUGUUUUUUUAGAAUGUGGAGGAGACAUGAGAUUCUAUGGAGGAGACGGAAGAUUUGGCUCGAACGGUGGCUCCAACACAAGAUUGAAUCAUUUCUUCAGCCAUAGCAUCCAGAGCGGGUUGAGGCGUCGGUGUAGAAGAAGUGGUAUGUGACUGAAAGAUGGUGACGUUGAAGCGCUGUGGUGACGGAUACGAAGGCGCAGCUGAUAUGCGGCUUAGGUUUAGGUUUUGUUAAUUAGGUUUGGUUUAAUGUGUGUUUAAUUAGUUUUGGUUUAAUGUGUUAUGGUGUAUUUAAUUUUUUAAUUCUGGUUUAGUGUUAUAUUUAUUUGUAAUUUAAGUUUUAAUUAAUAAAUAAAAAUUUAUUUUUAAUUACAAAUUAAUGUUUGCAUUUAAUUUUAAAUUAUUUUUUAAAAAUUAAUCAAAUUUAAUUAAUUAAUUAAUUAAAUUUAAGUAUUUUAUUUUAAAUUAUAGCAUUGUAUUUAUGUCAUUAUAAAAUAUUUUACAGCACUAAAAAAAGCCAUAAAAAGCUACGUAAUAGCACAAAUCAAAUGCUAUAAACGACUAUCGUUAGCUCACGAUUAACGCUAUAACAUCUCAAUUUAACAUAGCACACGAAAAAAUGCUAUGAUAGGGAGGGGGUCUAUUAUAGCUGCGGCUGUCACGGCGUUCUUCGAAACGCUACGAAAACGAUAUGGUAGCACAUUCUCGACGCUACUAAUACCAAUAUUUCUUGUACUGUGCGGUUCAAUUUGUUCUCCAGCUAGAUAUGAAGGAGGAGUGUCUCUCACAACCCUUUUGUGCCUAAACAAAUUCUUGUUUCUUCGGUAAGGAUGACCAAUGGGAAGAAAUCGACGGUGACAAUCAAACCAACUUGUCUUCCUACCAUUCUUCAGUUGAAACGCAUAUGUCGUUCCAUUACAAUAUGGACAAAAAUCUUAAAUCUAUACCCUAAAUAUAAUACCCUAAACCCCAAACUUAAAUCUUACAUACAAAGUCAUAAAUCUAUUUUUUUAAUUUAUAAUAUAAAUUUUAAACUUAGACUCCAAAUAUAUUCUAAAACUCAAACCAUAUACUUAAUUAUAAAUCUUAACCCUAAACCCUAAACCACAUACUUCAUAUUAACCUACAUCAUAAAUCCUAAUUUACAAAUUUCAAAAAUUUAAAUUGUACUCUAAUUUCUAACAUAUACACUAUAACUGUGAACUCUAAAUACAAAAUCUAAAUUUUAAAUUUAAUCAAAUACAUAUACUAUAAAUGCCAAACACCAAACCCUACAUCAAACCCUAUUCUUCAAAUUGAUACUCAAACUCUAAAUCCUUUUAUAACAAUUCUUAAUUUUUUUAAAGAAAAUCAUAAUUAUAUAUCAUAAUUGAUAUUUUUGCAAUUACAAAUUGUAAUUACUGAAAUUAACCAUCACUUAAUCUUCAAACAUUAGUCUUUGUAAAUAUAUAAAAUGAUAUGUCAAACUUAAUAAGAUUAAAUAAAAUAAAAUAAAAAGAAAGAAUUGUGUGGUACAAACUACAAUCUCUAUCUCACCUCCUUUUACGUUAUUCUUCUUUUUUUUAAUAGCAAUCCUAGUGAUUCUUUUCUAUUGGCUAAUACAAAAAAGUGGGGAUAACUUCUUUUUUAACCUUAACCGUUGAUGAAUUUAAUAUAAAGGACAUAAAUAUUUGCUUUUUUUUUUAAUGGUUUCCUCUCUUUCUCGAUCUCUGCUCCUCUUCUCUUCUACUGUCGUAAACCUGAAAAAAAAAUGAAUCCAUCUCUUCUUCUUCUCUGGAAUAACUAAGAAACCCAGAAAAAUUCUCCAUCUUUUACGAAGGACUCCACUUCUCACCUCGUUGGUUCAUGUCUCAAUCCCAUCAGCUCAAACGAAAUCUGUCUCCUUUAUUUCCGAAUUUGUGUAAGUUGUUUUCGUUUGGACUCUCCUUAGAACUGUUGAUAAGAUUCAUUUUUUAUUUGUAUACAUACUGAUUUGCUGUUUUGGAAUGUGGAGGAGACAUGAGAUUUUACGGAGGAGACAGAAGAUUUGGCAGAGGAGAAGGAGGCGCCACCACCUCCAUCUGUUGAUUAUAUCUUAGAUCUGUUGAUAAAAUUCAUCUUGUAUGUGUUUACAUACUGAUUUGUUUUUUUAGAAUGUGGAGGAGACAUGAGAUUCUAUGGAGGAGACGGAAGAUUUGGCUCGAACGGUGGCUCCAACACAAGAUUGAAUCAUUUCUUCAGCCAUAGCAUCCAGAGCGGGUUGAGGCGUCGGUGUAGAAGAAGUGGUAUGUGACUGAAAGAUGGUGACGUUGAAGCGCUGUGGUGACGGAUACGAAGGCGCAGCUGAUAUGCGGCUUAGGUUUAGGUUUUGUUAAUUAGGUUUGGUUUAAUGUGUGUUUAAUUAGUUUUGGUUUAAUGUGUUAUGGUGUAUUUAAUUUUUUAAUUCUGGUUUAGUGUUAUAUUUAUUUGUAAUUUAAGUUUUAAUUAAUAAAUAAAAAUUUAUUUU